rnacentral:rRNA from 1 species
CCCUUAGAUGUCCUGGGCCGCACGCGCGUUACACUGAUGCAUUCAACGAGCAUAUAACCUUGGCCGAGAGGCCUGGGUAAUCUUGUUAACAUGCAUCGUGAUAGGGAUAGAUUAUUGCAAUUAUUAAUCUUGAACGAGGAAUUCCUAGUAAUCGCAGUUCAUCAAACUGCAAUGAUUACGUCCCUGCCCUUUGUACACACCGCCCGUCGCACCUACCGAUUGAAUGGUCCGGUGAGGACUCGGGAUUGUGGUUUAGCUCCUUCAUUGGGGCCUGACUGCGAGAACUUGUCCGAACCUUNUNAUUUAGNGGAAGGUGAANUCGUANCA